rfam:Dipodomys ordii contig_78002, whole genome shotgun sequence.
GGGAAGGUGGCUCAGUGGUAGAGCGCUUGCCUUGCAUGCAUGGGCCCUGGGUUCGAUUCCUCAGUACCA